AUUGAACGCUGGCGGCAUGCCUAACACAUGCAAGUCGAACGAGUGGCGGACGGGUGAGUAAUGUGUGGGAAACUGCCCGAUGGAGGGGGAUAACUACUGGAAACGGUAGCUAAUACCGCAUACCAUCGGAUGUGCCCAGAUGGGAUGAGCGAGUAGGGGGGGUAACGGCUCACCGGGGCGACGAUCCCUAGCUGGUCUGAGAGGCAGACGAGCCAAACUGGAACUGAGAAACGGCCCAGCCUCCGACGGGAGGCAGCAGUGGGGAAUAUUGCACAAGGGGCACAAGCCGGAGGAAGCCAUGCCGCGUGGAUGAAGAAGGCCUUCGGGUUGUAAAGUCCUUUCAGCGAGGAGGCGUUACUCGCAGAAGAAGCCCCGGCUAACUCCGUGCCAGCAGCCGCGGUAAUAC
rnacentral:rRNA from 1 species